GAAACGGAUGCUAAUACCGCAUACGCCCUAAGGGGGAAAGCGGGGGAUCUUCGGACCUCGCGCUAUUGGAUGAGCCUAAGUCGGAUUAGCUUGUUGGUGAGGUAAUGGCUCACCAAGGCGACGAUCCGUAGCUGGUCUGAGAGGACGACCAGCCACACUGGGACUGAGACACGGCCCAGACUCCUACGGGAGGCAGCAGUGGGGAAUAUUGGACAAUGGGCGCAAGCCUGAUCCAGCAAUGCCGCGUGUGUGAAGAAGGCCUGCGGGUUGUAAAGCACUUUCAGUAGAGAAGAAAAGCCUACGGUUAAUACCCUUGGGUCUUGACGUAACCUACAGAAGAAGCACCGGCUAACUCCGUGCCAGCAGCCGCGGUAAUACGGAGGGUGCGAACGUUAAUCGGAAUUACUGGGCGUAAAGCGCGCGUAGGCGGCUCUGUAAGUCGGAUGUGAAAGCCCCGGGCUUAACCUGGGAAUGGCAUUCGAUACUGCAGAACUAGAGUAUGGUAGAGGGAAGUGGAAUUCCGGGUGUAGCGGUGAAAUGCGUAGAUAUCCGGAGGAACACCAGUGGCGAAGGCGAC
rnacentral:rRNA from 1 species